UGCAUCUUCUUUUACAGAUUUCCAGAGAGCUCACAUUCACUUUGCAACCGACAACUAACAUGUGUGCAUCUUUACACUGUUUCAAUGAGUGACUUUAAAAUUUUAUGAAAUAUUGUUAACAAAUGCAUUACAAGGAUGUUAUCAAUAAAUACUCAAUCAUUAUAAAACUAACACUAUUUUCGGAAACUAGCUCUGCCCUUACCAUCUAAGCAGCUUCACUCGAAGCUUGUUUGCUACAUAAAUGAGGAACUAAUGGACACAGAGAACCCAUCGUAAGUCUUGCCCAACGGCUAUGUCUACAGCUCUAAGGCUCUUGAAGAAACGGCAAGGAAGAAUGAUGGUGAGAUUACUUGCCCAAGGACAGGCUUGAUCUGCAGUUACACUGAUCUGGUGAAGGCAUAUAUAUCGUUAAUCUACAUACCAUGGCCUGUUCAGUCGUUCUGGUUUGUUAUCUAUUUAUACGGGAAUUUGUAGCUGUUAUAACGUCCUGUGCUAUCCGUACAUAAAUCCUCCCCUGCCAUAUUGAGUUCGGUUAAUAAGAACUAUGCCCUGGGAUCGAUGCUCUACUCUUACUCUUGUAUUCCUCUUGGGCACUCGAAAGUUGAAACAUGUAUAUAAGCGUAGAUUACGUUUCACCCUUUAUUUUCAUGUUAAAUUUCUUAAUGGUGAAUUGAAUUAUUUGGCAUUCAUUGAACUGAAAAGCAGGUCAUUUCAAGAUGAGUAAUUUUACAGUUAUCAUAAUUGCAACACUUCUAAUAGAGAUAAGAUUAGCUAGUACAAGUGUGUCUCAUUUUUAUUAAAGAAGUGUUACAUAUAUGAUAUACAAAAUAUGAUAAGUGCAGGAUUCUUGUUUCAAGAUAUACGAUGGUAAGUCACAUAUUUAUGAGAUCACGUUAAGAUGUUUAAACGAUAAGUUGUUUUUACUUUUAAGUUUUAACUGCAAACUAUACACAAGUGAUAAAUUAUCGUGAUGGUUAGUCUUCCUUUUUAUAUCACAGCAUAUCUACCUGAAUAAUUCCAAGUUUCUUAAUAUAUUGGUCUUGUCUGAGACAAACAGUGAAUAUUGAAUGUUACUUUCAAGCGAAGACUUGGAAAGACGUUGUCUACAGGUCCAAAUUAAAUAGCAAUUUGCAUAUUACACAUUGGUAGUUUUAUUAUUACUUUCUUUCCUGUCAUUUUGGAGGUUAGUCAACUAGCAACAAUCAACCGGCAAAUAAGGAUUGAAAUCUUUAUUUGCUUUUGAUGCAUCAUGUAUGAUCUCAUCCGAUUAUUGGAAGACUUGUUAAUUAAGUUGAUCUAUUGGCAGUAAAACUAAAGGCUCAUUUGGUAAAUACAUUUAAAUGAUCGAAAUCGUUUUAAUAGAAAAUGUUUUUGAGUUUUAAAAGCGCUUGAAGUGUUUUCUGCUAAAGCACCUGUGACAUCCCGUCCCAAAAUUAUCUAAAACGUACAUGUGAAAUGACCCUUUUACCCCUAGUUUGUUUUCGUUACAUUAUUGGUUAUUUUUUUGGUGUUGAUGGCAUGUGUUGGGCCACACACACACCUUCCCACCACUCCACAUUUUCUAUCCCUUUCCCUGUCACUCUCUCCCGUGCUCCCAUCUCCCUUCCCGUUCACCAUAACGUACGGACACACACACAACUCACUCAAAUCAUCACAGAUCGAGGGAACUAAACCCAUAUUCGAGCUCGUGAGGUUGAGAGGAGCACGAUCGUACCAUUUUCAACCCGUAAUGACCUGGUGAGGUUCCCAGGAGUCCCGGAGUAACUCGUUGGAGGAAUUUGGACGUCGGAAUCGUCCUGUUCGAACUUGGCCGGUUUUGGAGGUUGGGGUCAGGUAAGAUCUCGUGAUUUUUAGCCUUUAAAACUUGUGUGAUCGUGUUCUACUAGUCCUAAGCUUCAAUUUGGUGUUAGAAUCGUGAAAAAUGGUUGAGAAUCGAGUGA